rnacentral:rRNA from 1 species
GACGAACGCUGGCGGCGUGUCUAAUACAUGCAAGUAGAACGCAGUUGCGAACGGGUGAGUAACGCGUAGGUAACUGCCUCAUAGCGUGGGAUCACUAUUGGAAACGUUAGCUAAUACCGCAUACUGUGAGAUGGAUCUGCGUUUUAUUAGCUAGUUGGUGAGGUAAAGGGCCAUCAAGGCGACGAUACAUACCCGACCGGAGCAGGCGGGCGGCGACAAUGGGAAGGAGUCACGGACCAGACUCGGACGGGAGGCAGAAGUAGGGAAUCUUCGGAAAUGGACGGAAGGCUGACCGAGAAACGCCGCGUGAGUGAAGAAGGUUUUCGGGUCGUAAAUCUCUGAUGUUAGAGAAGCGGUAACUAACAAGAAAGGGACGGCUAACUACGUGCCAGCAGCCGCGGUAAUUC